UAUUGUUUGUGUUUUUUUUUG
rnacentral:piRNA from 1 species